CAGCCUCCACGGAGCUUACACUGUGGUUGUAGGGGCAAAGACUAAUCAAUUUAAGUAUGGGCAAAAUAUCAGUGACUUCUAUCAUGGUAAGAGUCAGAGGCAUCUAGUUUUCCAGUUUGGAGUAAUUAAGAAACUGUGAAGACAGAAGCCAGUUGCAAACACAUCAAAAUGUUACGUUCAGUGCAUGCAACAAACCCCUUAAUUUAAAUCCAAUAAACAAAGAAGGACAUGUUGGACUAUGUUGGGUGAGAACCGUGGCCUCUGACCCAACGGUGUGGCCCUGCAGGAUGACCUGCCACUCAGGCAAACAGCUUGAAGGCACCAGCAGCUCAGAGCUGCCCAGCUUUGAGCAAAGAAUGGAAAGCAUCUUCAGCAUCCAGGCAGAUGGAAGGGCUGAGUAGUUCAGUUCAUCCACAGAAUGGAUUCAGUAGGCAUUUAAAUAAAAACACAAGAAAUUUUUUUCCACCCCAAAA
rnacentral:lncRNA from 1 species